rnacentral:rRNA from 1 species
UCAGAAUGAACGCUAGAAAUAUGCAUAACACAUGCAAGUUGAACGAAUAUAGCUAAUUAUAUAAGUAGCGAACGGGUGCGUAAUAUACAAGAAUUUACCUUUUAAUUUAGGAUAACUGAGUAAUAUUAGCUAAUACUAAAUAUGUUGUGUUAAAAACAAUAAAGAUUAGAUCGUUAAAAGAUAAGCUUGUAUAGGAUUAGGUAGUUGGUAAGGUAAGAGCCUACCAAGCCGAUGAUCCUUAGCUAGUUUGGGAGGACGAGUAGCCACACUGAAACUGAGACAAGGUUCAGACUUCUACGGAAGGCAGCAGUGUGGAAUAUUGGACAAUGAGCGAAAGCUUGAUCCAGCAAUAUUUCGUGUGUGAUCAGAAGAAUAGGAGACUAUUUGUAAAGCACUAUCAGUAAAGACGAAAUUGACUGUAUUUGCAGAAGAAGCUCCGGCAAAUUUCGUGCCAGCAGCCGCGGUAAUACGAAAGGAGCAGGUGUUAUUCAGAUUAACUG